UGACCAGACUCCUACGGGAGGCAGCAGUGGGGAAUAUUGCACAAUGGGGGGAACCCUGAUGCAGCGACGCCGCGUGGGUGAAGGAGCACCUCGGUGCGUAAAGCCCUAUCGGCAGGGAAGAAAAGCGAACAGGUUCGCCUGGACGGUACCUGACUAAGAAGCCCCGGCUAACUACGUGCCAGCAGCCGCGGUCAUACGUAGGGGGCAAGCGUUAUCCGGAUUCACUGGGUGUAAAGGGAGCGUAGACGGCGACGCAAGUCUGGAGUGAAAGCCCGGGGCCCAACCCCGGGACUGCUCUGGAAACUGCGUCGCUGGAGUACGGGAGGGGCAGGCGGAAUUCCUGGUGUAGCGGUGAAAUGCGUAGAUAUUAGGAGGAACACCAGUGGCGAAGGCGGCUUACUGGACUGUAAAUGACGCUGAGGCUCGGAAGCGUGGGGAGCAAACAGGAUUAGAUACCCUUGUA
rnacentral:rRNA from 1 species